rnacentral:rRNA from 1 species
AUACGGAGGGUGCGAGCGUUACUCGGGGUCACUGGGCGUAAAGCGUCCGUAGGCGGUCGGGUAAGUCGGGUGUGAAAGCCCCGGGCUCAACCUGGGAAGUGCACCCGAUACUGCUCGACUCGAGUGCGGGAGAGGAUGGCGGAAUUCCCGGUGUAGCGGUGAAAUGCGUAGAGAUCGGGAGGAACACCAGUGGCGAAGGCGGCCAUCUGGCCCGCAACUGACGCUGAGGGACGAAAGCGUGGGGAGCAAACAGGAUUAGAAACCCUAGUAGUCC